GGUUUUAAAAAUGGGAGCUUCCCUGCAGACGCUUUCUUCUCGUCUGUCGCCAUGUGAGAUGUACCUUUCACUUUCCUCCAUGAUUGUGAGGCCUCCUUAGCCACAUGGAACUGAAAUGCUGGAGUCCUUCAUCCGAAUGGUAAAUGGCACUUGUGACAAAAAUCAAAGUAACUAAAAAAGAAUCUGGUUGAAACCUCAGUAACAGUUGGCCUGUCUACUGCCUCACACUAACAAGGGGGAGCUAAUAAAACCGAGGUUAGAACACACAAUGUGGAAAUGAAAACCUUAUUCUUGUCAAUGGAUGGAGGGUGGUGACCCCCACCUUUACAAGUGUCUGUAAUUCUCACUAGCAGUAUAUUAGAGGGCAAAAGAUUUGAACAGACACAUCAGAAAAGAAGACAUACAAAUGGCCGCUAAGCACUUGAAAGGAUUCUGAACACCAUUAGUCAUCAGUGAAAUGCAAAUUAAAGCCAUAAUGAAUGGCGCUAUACAUUUUCAGAAUGGCAAGGAUUGAAGACCGAAAAAAAUCAAGCGUUGAGGAGAGUGACAAAUGGGGAGACAGCCGUGGUGCAUGAUCGCCGAAUAAAUACCAUGUGAGGAUACAGCAAGAAGGUGGCCAUCUACAAGCCAAGGAGACAGGCCUCAGAAGAAACCAACCCUUCUUACACCCUGGACUCAGACUUCUAAUCUCCAGAACUUGUUAAUGCACAAGGUCUUGUGUUGAAAAUGUAGAGCCACGAGAUAAAAGCAGCUUGGAUGGCUGACUCAUAUACAAGGACAACUGCCUGAGAGUCACCAGGGCUAUCAAGAAGUUUGCAGAAACAAGAAAUAAACUUUUACUGUUUUAAACUUUUGUGAAUUUUGGGUUUUGUUUAUCACCAAAUAAACCUAGUCUAUUCUGAUUGUUAUAAGUGGUUAAUUUGGGAAGUCAGAUAUAUUUAAAAUUGGCUUACUGCUGUAACAUAUACAGUCCAAAUUACAUAAUGGCUCAAAUGCAAUAGAAGUCUUUUUUUUUUUUGCUCACAUAUCACUUCACUGAGAUUCUGCAUUAAUUGUAAUGAUGAGGGUGAGGGUGUCUUAUAUCAUACAGUUGUUCAGCAACCCAGGAUGACCAACUUUGUAAUAUUUUUUCCCACUGGCUUCUAAAGUUCUCAUAGAUAGUAAAAUUCAUUUGGAAGAAGGAGAAACAGCAUGGAGGAUUGCAGAUGGAGAUUUUUAUGGGAAGGCUUGGAGGUUUGGAGGUUACACAUUACUACUUUUACUUGUUGGCUAGGAAACUAUCACGUGGUCACACCUAAGUGCCAGUGAGUCUGACAAUGUGGCAAUUUGGUUGCGGGCCAGGGGUAAGAGGCAAUAAAUUUUGCUCAAUAAUUAUCAGUUUUUGCCACAGAUGGAGGGACUUUUCAUUGUAUAACUAGUUGUUACUGUUUGAAUUUAAAACAGGAAAAUAUCAUUUUCAAAUAAAAACACAAAAGUGGCACAAAAAA
rnacentral:lncRNA from 1 species